CUCCAAAGGGUUUUCUCUCACCGUAGUUUGAUCUGAGAAGAGGAUGAAAACGCCCACCCUGUGGAGCCCGGCCAUAACCCGUAGCUGAAUCACUUCUUCCAAGGUCACACCCACCAGCUCCGCUCCCAUAAUUACCAGGGAGAGCAAUUAGUUCCCCCAGCCUGAGUAUGUGAUGGUCCUGGGCACACCUGUAGCCUGUCACCUGGGCGCUGCUCAGGAAGAUGGAGGGGCCACAUGGGCAGAAGCACACUUGGAAUGAGACAGCAUCACAAUGUCAACGGAGGAGUAAAAUCAUUAGCCUUCACGCAGUUAAUGAAAGUCAAAGAUUAAGUCGGCCAUUCUUAAGAGAGCGCCAUUAUUCAGAACACUCUUUCAGCGUCAUUAAUAAACCCCCUCUUCCUUAAAAAAAGAAGAGACAGAGAAAGAAUC
ensembl:lncRNA